GGAAGAGCUGCGACAUGCUGCUUCACCUCUAAUGGCUUUUUGCACCGGUCAAAAGACUGCAGGCAUGCAGAAUAUAUCUCUGAAGGACCUUGCCAUGACUAUUAUUGUUCGACCGUGCAUGUGUGAACUCCUAGGAUAUGGGAAUUUGGAAGCCAGGAAACAUGGGCACUAUUUCAGCUGGAUUUUGUUGUAGUAGAUCGCCAGGAUAGACAAAGAACAUGCUGAAAGAGGGCUCCAUCUAUCGAAUCUGAAAUUCUGAUGUUCGAUUAUGUUUGCUUCUUGUGUUUACGGCGAUUGGUUUACUUGUUUGGAUAGGGAGGGAAAAGGAGUUAAGAGACAAAGAGAAGGCUCAGCACCUCUAUUUGCAUGUCAAAUCUAAAGUAGAGAGCUGCAUCAAGUAUCUGAAGGAGAAGACAGAGAAGGAUCCCUACAGGAGUACACUGAAAUACCCACAUUGAACCCUCAAGCUGAGAUGAUCACUUUGUCAUUAGUUAGGAUCCAAACCAAUUGUUUAUAUUGUUCAUGUUAAUCUUUUAUAUACAAUAGUUACUUUUUUAUUAAUUUUACCUCAAGUUAAUUGUAGUUUAUUCAAAUUAGAAGGUCA